rnacentral:misc_RNA from 1 species
UUUCCGUAGGUGAACCUGCGGAAGGAUCAUUAGUGAAUUUAGAGUGUCUCCUUAACGAGAGCUCGACCUCCACUAUUUCUACUCUGUGCACCAAUCAAGCAUUUGGGACAGAUAGUAGCUUUGGCGAAACCUGUCUUGUUUGCUUUUUUACCUUUACAAACAUUAAAGUUAAAGAAUGUAAAAAAAACCAUAACAAAAAAAAACUUUCAACAACGGAUCUCUUGGCUCUCGCAUCGAUGAAGAACGCAGC